rnacentral:rRNA from 1 species
GACGAACGCUGGCGGCGUGCCUAAUACAUGCAAGUUGAGCGCUGAAGGUUGGUACUUGUACCCACUGGAUGAGCAGCGAACGGGUGAGUAACGCGUGGGGAAUCUGCCUUUGAGCGGGGGACAACAUUUGGAAACGAAUGCUAAUACCGCAUAAAAACUUUAAACACAAGUUUUAAGUUUGAAAGAUGCAAUUGCAUCACUCAAAGAUGAUUCCGCGUUGUAUUAGCUAGUUGGUGAGGUAAAGGCUCACCAAGGCGAUGAUACAUAGCCGACCUGAGAGGGUGAUCGGCCACAUUGGGACUGAGACACGGCCCAAACUCCUACGGGAGGCAGCAGUAGGGAAUCUUCGGCAAUAGACGAAAGUCUGACCGAGCAACGCCGCGUGAGUGAAGAAGGUUGUCGGAUCGUAAAACUCUGUUGGUAGAGAAGAACGUUGGUGAGAGUGGAAAGCUCAUCAAGUGACGGUAACUACCCAGAAAGGGACGGCUAACUACGUG